GACGAACGCUGGCGGCGUGCUUAACACACGCAAGUCGAACGGUAAGGCCCUUCGGGGUACACGAGUGGCGAACGGGUGAGUAACACGUGGGUGAUCUGCCCUGCACUUCGGGAUAAGCCUGGGAAACUGGGUCUAAUACCGGAUAGGACCACUGCCUGCAUGGGUGGUGGUGGAAAGCUUUUGCGGUGUGGGAUGGGCCCGCGGCCUAUCAGCUUGUUGGUGGGGGGAUGGCCUACCAAGGCGACGACGGGUAGCCGGCCUGGGAGGGUGACCGGCCACACUGGGACUGAGAUACGGCCCAGACUCCUACGGGAGGCAGCAGUGGGGAAUAUUGCACAAUGGGCGCAAGCCUGAUGCAGCGACGCCGCGUGAGGGAUGACGGCCUUCGGGUUGUAAACCUCUUUCAGUAGGGACGAAGCGCAAGUGACGGUACCUACAGAAGAAGGACCGGCCAACUACGUGCCAGCCGCCGCGGUAA
rnacentral:rRNA from 1 species